GGGUGUGUGGUUUAGUGGUUAUAACAAUUAUGAAAUUAUCCUAGAUGAGAGGUCCGGGGUUCGAAUCCCUGCACAUCCA
rnacentral:tRNA from 1 species